ACUUUCUGUCCCGCUGUUUUAUGGGGAAGGCGGGGGAAGACACGCAGACAUCAAUUCGACUAAACAAAGUUUAUCAAUAAUAUUAAAAAUAAAAAGUAAAGCCCCUUUCUGAACAUUAUGGCUUAUUCCUUGAUUAUCCUUCUUAAUGCCACAGCGUGGCUAUCUCAGAACAAAAUUAGAGACUAACAGUAAAUUUACUUUAAUUUUUACGAAUAAUUCUCUAUCAAUGUAAAAAUUUUUCAUAUACGCGUGUAUGAAAGAAAAACACUACUAUUUUUCCACAUUCGUGAAAACUGCUUAACUGGGACAGUAACCGAGCGGCCAGUGAAUAUUUAAAAUACUGUAACCGACGAAUACGUAUGCUUCUAGGACCACGUGGAAUCUUUCCCAUGGUAGAGACAGGAUUUCACCAUGUUGCCCAGGCUGGUCUCAAAACUUCUGAAUUCAAGCAGUCCGCCCGCCUCUGCCUCCCAAACUGUUGAGAUUACAGGCGUGAGCCACCGCACCCAGCCUCAAGAAUGUCUUAAAUAAUGUAUGUACUAUUUUAUCAGUUUACACCCUCACUAGCAUUGAUGAGUUCUCUUUGUUCCACAUUCUCUCCAACACAAGAUAUGGUCAGACUCUUACCAUUUUUACCGCUGUGAAAAUUGCAAUUUACAUUUCCCUAACAAAGUGGUGCAUUCUUCCAUACUUAUGAAACCUUAUUUCCUCUUCUGUGAACUGUCCACUCUUACCUUUUAUAAAGUUUGCUAUGGAGUUUUCUUUCACAAA